rnacentral:rRNA from 1 species
CUGGCAGUCUUUUGGCUGUCCGAGUUGUAGUCUGGAGAAGUGUCUUCUGUGCCCGACCGUGUACAAGUCCCUUGGAACGGGGCGUCGUAGAGGGUGAGAAUCCCGUCUUUGACACGGACUUGCCGGGUGCUAUGUGAUGCGCUCUCGAAGAGUCGAGUUGUUUGGGAAUGCAGCUCAAAUCGGGUGGUAAAUUCCAUCUAAAGCUAAAUAUUGGCGAAAGACCGAUAGCGAACAAGUACCGUGAGGAAAAGAUGAAAAGCACUUUGGAAAGAGAGUCAAACAGUACGUGAAAUUGUUGAAAGGGAAACGCUUGAAGUCAGUCGCGUCCGCCGGGACUCAGUCGGGGUUCUUACCUCGACGCAUUUUCUGGCGUUAGGACGGGCCAGCAUCGAUUUUGACCGUCGGAGAAAGGCCUCGGGAAUGUGGCACCCUUCGGGGUGUGUUAAUUAGCCGAGGUCGUAUGCGACGGUCGAGAUCGAGGACCGCAGCACGGCCCUUCGGGGGUCGGGGUUUCGCCCACGUAACGUGCUUGGGAUGCUGGCGUAAUGGCUUUAAACGACCCGUCUUGAAACACGGACCAAGGAGUCUAACAUGCCUGCGAGUGUUUGGGUGGAAAACCCGGACGCGAAACGAAAGUGACAUCGGGUCGGGACCUCUGUCGUGGAGGGCACCGACGCCCGGACCGGACCUAUUGYGACGGUUCCGAGGCAGAGCAUGUAUGUUGGGACCCGAAAGAUGGUGAACUAUGCCUGAGUAGGGCGAAGCCAGAGGAAACUCUGGUGGAGAGCUCGUAGCGAUUCUGACGUGCAAA